rnacentral:pre_miRNA from 1 species
GAAGUACUCCCUCCGUUCGGAAUUACUUGUCACAGAAAUGGAUGUAUCUAGAUGUAUUUUAGUUCUAGAUACAUCCAUAUUCGAGACAAGUAAUUCCGAACGGAGGGAGUAGAAC